rnacentral:rRNA from 1 species
GUGUACCAGGCGCGAAACCUCCGCAAUACACGAAAGUGUGACGGGCCAUCCCGAGUGCCGUCCGCUGAGGACGGCUUUUCCCCAGUGUACAUAGCUGGGGGAAUAAGGAGAGGGCAAGCCUGGUGUCAGCCGCCGCGGUAAUACCAGCUCUCCGAGUGGUGGGGACGCUUAUUGGGCCUAAAGCAUCCGUAGCCGGCUGGGCAAGUCCUCCGUUAAAUCCAACGAUUCAAUCGUUGGGCUGCGGGGGAUACUGUCCAGCUUGGGGGCGGGAGAGGCCGACGGUAUUCCCCGGGGUAGGGGUGAAAUCCUAUAAAUCCCGGGAGGACCACCAGUGGCGAAGGCUGUCGGCUAGAACGCGCCCGACGGUGAGGGAUGAAAGCUGGGGGAGCGAACCGGAUUAGAUACCCCGGUAGU